AAACUGAAGAGUUUGAUCAUGGCUCAGAUUGAACGCUGGCGGCAGGCUUAACACAUGCAAGUCGAGCGGAAACGAUGGGAGCUUGCUCCCAAGGCGUCGAGCGGCGGACGGGUGAGUAACGCGUAGGAAUCUGCCCAGUAGUGGGGGAUAGCCCGAGGAAACUCGGAUUAAUACCGCAUACGCCCUACGGGGGAAAGGCCGGGAUCUUCGGACCGGUCACUAUUGGAUGAGCCUGCGUUGGAUUAGCUUGUUGGUAGGGUAAUGGCCUACCAAGGCGACGAUCCAUAGCUGGUCUGAGAGGAUGAUCAGCCACACUGGGACUGAGACACGGCCCAGACUCCUACGGGAGGCAGCAGUGGGGAAUAUUGGACAAUGGGGGCAACCCUGAUCCAGCCAUGCCGCGUGUGUGAAGAAGGC
rnacentral:rRNA from 1 species